CACUACUGUAGCAUUUCGCUCAAACCCGCCCUUCCAUGUGCCGGGACCACUUUGCCUCCUCCUCUCUGGUGGCAUUUAAACUCCCAUUUAAGGAAACAUCAUGUUUUAGGAAUUUAGGUUUGUCCACAGUAGUGUAAAAGUGAUCAGCUACUCUUCCCAGUCUGUGUGUGUGUGUGUAUACGUGUACACACAUACAAAGGUGCUCUGUGAUGUAAAAUGCUUGCAUGGAUGACCUGCUUCCUGUUUUGCUCUGUGAGGUGGGAAAGGAAGACAAGCAAGCAGGUGUGUAAUCAGGAAGGUGAGCAGUGCAAGAAGCCUCUCAGGAAGUGAAGCUGGGGCACUAGCAGGUAGAAGGAGUCAGCCCACUGGGACUAGAGAAUGGCUUCUCUCCAUCUGCUCUCUAAUCCCAGGGACAAGCAUUCUUCCUAGUUUCUUACUUCUGAGCAGCAACACUGCCUUCUUCAGGUCUUCACUUGUCUUUCAGAGCCUUCCAGGCCUCUCCAAAAGAGCCAGGCCGUGGGAUUAG
rnacentral:lncRNA from 1 species